rnacentral:tRNA from 1 species
AGCAGCAUGGCUUAGUGGAUAGAGCAUGGUCCUGGGAGUCAGAAGAACCUGGGUUAUAAUCCCAGCUCUGCUG